ensembl:lncRNA
GCGGAGUUGAAGCAAAGUAGUAUCACAACCUAAAGAUCAAGAGUUUGUUUGGAGGAGCGCGCUCUAUGACCUUGCUCCAGGGGAUCUGCCUGCGCUCGCCUUUCACCGGCAAGAUCACGCUUUAACCACGACUGUAUGAGCGACAUGAAGUGAAAACGGCAGGCUUGUAUUUCUUCUGGGCACCUCUGCUGCUUUCAGGGCAAAAGGCCCGUUGGACGUCACUCCUCCUUACAGCUGUCAUAAGGAUGUAGCCUUAAUAUUUCCUCUUGUAGGUCGAUUACAUUCUGGCAAGUUAUCCACAUUCACCUAUUUUACCAGUGUUCGGAGACACAGAUAGCUAAUUAGCACAGGUAGGCCACUUU